rnacentral:rRNA from 1 species
CUCUUCUUGUUUUUAUUUUUGAAGUAUAACCUGCCCACUGAUUAGAUUUUGAAGGGCCGCGGUAUUUUGACCGUGCAAAGGUAGCAUAAUCAUUAGUUUUUUAAUUGGGGACUAGAAUGAAUGGUUGGACGAGGAAUAUUCUGUUUCUUAAUAAUAUAUUUUGAAUUUAAAGUUUAAGUUAAAAUGCUUAAAUUUUUUUAUGGGACGAGAAGACCCUAUAGAGUUUAAUAAACUUUAUUAUUGUUUUGUUUGUUAAAUGUACUUAUUAUAUAAUUUAUUUUGUUGGGGUGAUAAAAAUGAAUUAAUAAACUCUUUUUUUUAUUUAUAUAUUUAUAUAUAAUUCUUUGAUCCAUUUUUGUUGAUUAAAAGACUAAAUUACCUUAGGGAUAACAGCGUAAUCCUUUUAGAGAGUUCUUAUCGAUAAAAGGGUUUGCGACCUCGAUGUUGGAUUAAGAUUUAAUUUGGGUGUAGCUUUUCAAUUGUUUAGGUCUGUUCGACCUUUAAAAUCUUACA